rnacentral:rRNA from 1 species
GAUGAACGCUGGCGGCGUGCCUAACACAUGCAAGUCGAGCGAUUCUCUUCGGAGAAGAGCGGCGGACGUGUGAGUAACGCGGGGGUAACCUGCCCUGUACACCCGGAUAACAUAUCGAAAGGUAUGCUAAUACGAGAUAACAUACUCUUAUCGCACGGUAGAAGUAUCCAAGCUACGGCGGUACAGGAUGGACCCGCGUCUGAUUAGCUAUUUGGUAAGGGUACGGCUCACCAAGGCGACGAUCAGUAGCCGACCUGAGAGGGUGAUCGGCCACAUUGGAACUGAGACACGGUCCAAACUCCUACGGGAGGCAGCAGUGGGGAAUAUUGCACAAUGGGCGAAAGCCUGAUGCAGCAACGCCGCGUGAGCGAUGAAGGCCUUCGGGUCGUAAAGCUCUGUCCUCAAGGAAGAUAAUGACGGUACUUGAGGAGGAAGCCCCGGCUAACUACGUGCCAGCAGCCGCGGUAAAAC